GAACGGGCGCUCAUUACGGCUGAACGGAAUGUAUGCUAGCCGAGUUUUGUGUCAAUUUCUAAGUGUCAAAUUUGAAAUUGUACUAUAUUUUUUAUUUCAAGAAUAUUUUGAAUCAACUAUUGUGUGGUUGGAGUAAUUUUAAUAGUAAUCUAAUGACUUUUUAUUAAUUGAACGAAACGAUUACGGUGUCAUUUUCUGCCGGUUCUUGUUCAGCUCGCUUCAUUGCAGCGUGCAGGCUGUCUGUCGAUGAUGAAUAGGAGGGAAGGAUAUUAGUAUUUCUGCGCUUGAAAGAAGAGGAUUUGAAUACAGCUUGCUAGGGGAGAUAUUCACGGUUGGUUGUACUCUUCGUUGCUACUGAUCACCACUAGGCCCAGUCAGUCUGUUGUUCAUGAAAGUAAAGUGACUGUAAGGUCUGACCAAAUCGAUUCAAUAACAGUUGUUUUCAAUGCCUUGUUACGAUCCUCAGCUAUGUGGGUGAAGAUGUCCCCAACAUCGAUUUUGAAAACCACAAACGAAGGCUGUUGUCUUCGUUAGCAACGGGACGCUUUUCAGUCGUGCCUUAAGUGCGUUAGCACAUGACUUAGAUUUUUCAUUGUAAUCGAAAAGGUGUGGAAGCCAAAGUAUUGCUGUUUUUUUUUUCCUUUGGUAAAUACAUACUAACUACUUAAAUCAAAAUGAUGGCUACAUAAAGUAACUGGAAAUAAACUUUAUUCAUGAUGUUGAAAGACUUUCCUGACAAAUACCGUGGAUUAGAAAGCUUAGAUGACUCUAAUUUUGGAGACACCUCAUCAUCACCGUCAAAAGAAGAUGAGUUAUUUGGAACAAAUGCAUAUGUAGAUAGUACAAGCUCAAGCAGACAAGGACAUGAGAAAAAACUUGUACAUAGAACAACAAGUUCAACUUUAUCCGGAAUUUCAAUAGAUGGUUCGAUACGGAGUACUCUGAAUUCUGCAACCUCACAACUAGAGGAUGGAGAUGUUGAAGAUGGAACAAAUGUACACGUUGUUGCAAGGGUAAGGCCAUUUAAUGAUGUUGAAAAGAAACGGAAGGACAGAAAUGGUGUGACUUUCACUGGAAACAAUUCUAUUACAAUUGACCAGGUUAAUGGAAAGUCCAAGAAAUUCACCUUUAACGCCGUCUUUCAGCCAGAUGCUUCCCAGCAAGAAUUCAUGGACAAGUGUGGCAUCAAAAAAAUGGUUGACAUGGCUGUGGACGGAUAUGCAUGCACAACGUUUGCCUAUGGUCAGACCGGCUCAGGCAAAACAUACACAAUAACUGGACCUGUUGCUAGUGUUUACCAGGAUUCAGUGGCUAGUGGUCUUAUCCAACGGUCAUUUGCCCACCUUUUUGAUGUGAUCAAGCAGGCACCUGACAAUUAUACCUUAACAGCAUCCUACCUGGAGAUUUACAAUGAACAGGUGAAGGACUUGCUUAAUCCAUCAGGUAUUGAUUCCUUGGCUGUUAGGUGGUCAAAGGACCGAGGCUUUUAUGUUGAAAAUCUAUUUAUGGUCGAAUGCGAGACGUUGGAUGAUGUACUGGCUGUUCUAGAAGAAGGCAUGAGUCAAAGACAGAUAGCAACUCAUAACAUAAACGAACAUUCCAGUCGGAGCCAUACUAUCAUGACAUUAUAUAUAGACAGUGAAAUGGUUGAUCCUGAUGAUGACAGCCUGUACAUUAGCAAGCAUGGUAGAUUGGCGUUUGUUGAUUUAGCUGGUAGCGAGAAGGUGAAAGAACUAGGCUCCUCCAAUGGGGAACUCCUCACAGAGACAACUAAUAUCAACAAAAGUUUGUUAACAUUAGGUAACUGUAUCUCAGCUCUUGGGGACACAAGGAAACGGUGUGGACAUAUUCCCUAUCGUGACAGUAAGCUAACCAAACUACUGGCUGACAGUUUGGGAGGCAAUGGAGUCACAUUAAUGAUUGCAUGUAUUUCACCAUCACAAUACAGCUGUGGAGAAUCUCUCAGUACAUUACGAUAUGCCAACAGAGCAAAACGAAUUAAAAAUAAGCCAGUUGUGAAAAUGGAUCCACGUGAAAGGUAUAUCUUGAGUCUUAAAAGGGAAGUGAAACUCCUACGGACGGAGAACCAGUACCUCAGGAGCCAUGUGGACUUCCCUGGAACCGCUAGGCCUGGAGGUAGAAAGAAUAAUGCAGCUGAUAAGACCCUAAGUGCCAAGUCCUCUUCUGAUACCUUGCGUGCAGAUUCCAAUAAUAGUAACCGGGAGCUAAGUGCAAAGACAAUAAAUGGGGACCAGGAAAUGAAUAAUAAUCAAAGGGCUACAGAAGGAAGUAUAUCAGAGACUGGCAGUGUCAAGUCUGCAGUUGAUAGCAGCCUGUAUGAAAUGUUACAGCAGUACAUGAUAGAGAAUGAGACAUUACGCACAGAGAACUCUGGCCUUCAAAGUUUCAAGGAACGCAGUGCUCGUGAACACGAAAAACUUUCCCGAGAUAAUGAACGACUAUCUAGGAAAUUGGAUUCAGUUGGCAGAGCUUUUACUUCAUCUCCGUAUCCUGGAACAGUUCAAGGAAAUUCUCUUCAUUCGUCUGCUAACACUGUGCACAGCUAUAACUCAGCUUUCAGCAGUAAUUCAUCAUUAUCUUCAGUGCAACUUGAACUCAAAGUGAGUCCUCCCGCCACUGUACCUUCAACAAGUAAAGCUUCACCCAAAAACACUACUUCACCUCAAAAUCGUCUGUCUUCCCAAAAUCCUUUGCCACAAUCACCCUGGAGACAUGGUUUAUCGCCACCGGAAGCUGUACCGCCAAACAACCAAGAAGUUACCCGGAACGGAGAGAUGUGGACUGAUGAAUCACCAUGGAAACAGGUAUCAAAAUCACUACCGCCAGUUGAUAAUGUUAAAGGUGUACCAAAUGGAUACCGAACACAACAGAAUACACAUUCAACCACCCAGCAGAGCUAUGCAGCCAUGCAUCAUUCCUACCCAUUACCCCAUAACAGCUCCUCGCACCCCCAAUCAAAUUCAGAUUUUUCACCCCAGCAACCCAUUUCUAAAAAUCAAAGGUUUGCCAACUCUAAAAAGACAUAUUCACCUCAAACACAUCAAACUUUCCCACCCUCAUCUCAAGCUGGUUCCCAGCAGCAACAUGGACAACUUCGUAGGCAAGCUAAUCUUCCACAAAGUGAAAACAUGCACAAUCCCAGGACUCAGCAUCAAGUACAUCAAUCUAAUGAGCAUAUACCACCUGGUCAACAGUAUAUGCCACCUGGACAUUAUCAGCAAAUGCCACCUGGAAAUUCCCAAGCACCACCUGGCCAACAACACAUGCCAGCUGGCUAUUCUAAUACACCACCUGAUUAUAAUCAUUCUAGAGGUAGUGAGCAAGAUCCAAACAAUAGGCUUCCACCAGGCAGUGGCAUGGGUCAAGCUGAUUUGGACAACCAAGUGACUGGACAAUCUAGAGCAGAUAUCUACAUCCCUUCUCUGCCAUCUACCAGAGACAGGAUGGAUGUCACCGCAAAGUUUGAAGCAAACCACAACUCAAAUGUAAAAUCAAAUUUGCAUACUAUUCAAGAGGACCGUGACAAGAAGAACCCAGGCAAGAAGGCACCCAAUAGGCAGAUAGGUGGCAGUAAACAGUCAGUAGGUACAGGUUACAAGGCCAAAGCCAAGCGAAAUGCAUGGAUGAAGGAGAAGGCAGCUUCGACAGACAGAAGACAGGAGACUAAGGCACCAGCAGCAGGCGCAAAGAAAGCAGGCUUGCGGAAACAAGUUUCUUUGGAUGAUUCACGAAUUGACAGAAUCCCACCAACUCCAUCUGCAACACCACCUCACGUUAAGUACAAGCCCAAGUCCCAAGUUGAUAUGAAUGUGAUUAUGCACUCAGCUAGCCUAGAUCUUGCCAGUGGGCCAUCUGAUUCAGGUUCCCUGAAGCAAUUAAAUGUGCAGCUGAGACAAGACCUGCAGGAUCUUGAUGGAGAAAUUGAAUACCUCAAAUACGUGAAUAAAAGUAAACCAGUGACACGAGACAAACUCAAAUGAUGAACUGUUUAUCACAUAAACUUAACAACGUGACCUAGAAGUGAUAUGUAUGUGUGUCAAAAUGGAGAAGAUGAGUUGAGAAAUCAAGUAUAAAGAAUGGAGUUCAGAAUGAGAUUCUAUUUAUCUGUAUGUUUGAUUGAUGCUGUCCACACUCUCAGGUUUAUGUGAUUUGUCCAUGUAUGGGCAUGAUAAUGUCAUAUCACACCUUAUAUGGGCAAAUCACAGGUGUUUGUCAUAUAAAACUUGAAAGUGUUUACAGACCUUACAAUAGUUUAAAAAACCUGCACUGUAUAUUUUAAGGUGCAUAUAUAUUUAAUUUUAAAAAUGUAAAUAAAACUAAUAUGUAUUGUUAAAAUUGGAGUUUAAUUUUGUAAUGAUAAACGUUUAUGUAUUUGUUACCAUAAUUAGCAAUAUGACAAAUGUAUUUACAGUGUGCCUAUAAAAGGAUAAUAUUUCUUCCUCUGUUAAAGUAUAUCAGGAAUCCAUUGUUCUUAUAGAGUUGUUUAUUUUAUUGACAAAGAAAAUAUUGUAAAUAGUAUUUUUCAGAUUCUGCUUUUGCUGAAUAAAACACAAUACUUGAAAUGUGGUAGUUUUGAAUCCGAAGUGCAAUAUUCCAAAAUGUAUCUUGAUUCCUUGCGAUAAAAGUAUUAUGUUGUUUUUAUACCAAAGCUUGAACCUUUUCAUUUGUAAUGUGAUGUACUCAAUUGUCUAAAAGCUGUGUCUACACUAUCAAGUUUUCUUUGACAUACUGCUGUAUGCCCAUAUAUAGUCACGAUGUGCCCAAAUAUAGUCAUGAUGUGUCUAUAUAUGGUCAUAAUGCCAUGUCAUCAUGACCAUAUUUAGGCAUGUCACAUGUUUUUGUCAAAUAAAAUUUGAUAGUCUGGACAGGGUUUUAGCUUUAGUUGAACCACCUCCAUGGUUGAACUAUCCGUAAAGGUUGAGCGAUUGCAUACCACUUUGACUACAGAUACUUAGAUAACUUUAUCGAUGUUUGUCUCCACCUUGGGGUAUAAAUUGUGGCAAAGACAAGGAAAAACAUUCACUCGUCGCAAAUUGUGUUUCAGAGAAAAUGGCCAAAACAUGCUAGAAUUUCAAAUUUUAAAAAAUCUAUUUUAUUACACUAAACUAACCUUUGUAUAUCUAUACAUCAUGCUAUGCUGUUAUUUCCCCCUUUUUCAAUGUUAAAACAACACUUUUUAAGGAUUUGAUGAUGAGAAAUGCCCGAAAUCAUAAGCUUUGAAGGCAGAUUUCUCAUAUGUUGUUCUUUAAACAGCUGUAUGUUUAAAUGCUUGUAACUUCAUACGGAAAUGUUGGAUUUGAAUGAUUUUUUACCAUUUUAUAGCUCUUAUUUUUUUUUUUUUUUUAAUUAUUUAUUUGUUC
rnacentral:misc_RNA from 1 species